UUACGACUACAUCACGUUGAAAACGCCGGUUCGCUGGACGAUCACCGAAGUUAAGCAACGUCGAGCCUGGUCGGUAUCUAGAUGGGUGAACGCUUUGGAAUACCAGAUGCU